rnacentral:rRNA from 1 species
GUCCAGACUCCUACGGGAGGCAGCAGUGGGGAAUAUUGCACAAUGGGGGAAACCCUGAUGCAGCGACGCCGCGUGAGCGAAGAAGUAUUUCGGUAUGUAAAGCUCUAUCAGCAGGGAAGAAAUUGACGGUACCUGAGUAAGAAGCUCCGGCUAAAUACGUGCCAGCAGCCGCGGUAAUACGUAUGGAGCAAGCGUUAUCCGGAUUUACUGGGUGUAAGGGGAGCGUAGGCGGCCUGCCAAGUCUGAUGUGAAAUGCCGGGGCUCAACCCCGGGGCUGCAUUGGAAACUGGCAGGCUGGAGUGUCGGAGAGGCAGGCGGAAUUCCUAGUGUAGCGGUGAAAUGCGUAGAUAUUAGGAGGAACACCAGUGGCGAAGGCGGCCUGCUGGACGAUGACUGACGCUGAGGCUCGAAAGCGUGGGGAGCAAACAGGAUUAGAUCCCCCAGUA